rnacentral:lncRNA from 1 species
GUCUGUUUCCUCAGAACACCGGUCUUCACCAAAGGCGUGGGAAAGGGCAGAGAGCACAGGACAUAUUCUGGAAUUCAGGUCACCUUUUACAUCUGCCUGGAGUUGGGUGAGCGCCUCACGAAUGACUCGGCAGGACUGACUGCCACUGCUAACCAGGCGGAUGCAAGCAAUGAGGAGGACCUGCCCAGGCCGGGUGGGUGUCUGCUCCCUCCCUCUGGUCCCUGGCACAUCUCUGGACCCCCUGCCCUGCUGUCGGAGAGAGAUGACGGGCAACGGCGUAUUCUCAGAGACAGGGCCUGCCUGCAAAUCCUUUAAAGUCAAUGGGAUGAAAUGUAUACCCAUUGUUAGAAAAAAAUAGGACUUAGCAAGUUGAGUGCAAAUAACUGAUGCAAGACUGGGAUGGAGAUGGGAGGGGUUUGGGGCAAAAGCAGAAGUCUUUCUGGGUCCGCACCAGCUGUGAAAUACCUGGCUUGUUGUUCUGUGCCUGUCUCCAGCACCCAGGCAGGGCUACCUGACCACUCUGCUCUCUCAGCCCCGCCCUGGCUCUGGAGCGAGCCUGUGGAAAGGGGGACACUUAGCCAAGGCCCCAGCCACAUAGCAGCAGCAGCUGCGCCCUCUGUCAGCUCCUUGCACCUCCUCACUGGGCCUCCUGCAAGGCACCUGCUCCACUCCACCACUAUCACCUGGGUCCUCCUGGCCUUGGCCUGGCUUGCUUACCUUGUUAUCAAGUCCUGAAUGGGGGAAGCAAUAUUCCUUCUCCACUACAAAUCACCACAGUAUUCACAAAGAAUUCCAGAGAAAUAAGAACAGAGACAUCAGACCACACUGAGCACUCAAUAAAGAGAAAAUUCUUCAAAGGUAGCUGAUUGAUGAGAGUUUCCACAUGCAGAUGGGACAGGCACUGAUUUGUGCACAAGAAGAUCAACUUGAUUGAAUCCAAAAUAAAGGAAUGUGUGUGUGCUGCAUGCACGCACACACAUAUCCCCAUGGCAAACUCUUGCUAUCCCAGGAGCGCAGACCGCAUGUGAGGAUCCUGGCUCCUUAUCUCCCCUCCCCGUAUCUCCCUUCCCUGAUUACCUUUGCGAUCUGCACACACCAGUUGAGCAGGUACUGGGAGCCAAUAUUGUCUUUGUGUUCCCGGACAUAGUCCAGGAGGCAGCCGAAGGGCAUGAGCUGCGUGAUGAGCUGCACGGUGGAGGUGAGGCAGAUGCCCAGCAGGCGGCACACGUGGGGGUUGUCCACGCUGGCCAUCACGUAGGCUUCCUGGAGGGAGGGAGAGGCACGUCAGUGUGGCUUCGCAUGGUGGCCAGAAGGAGGGGCACAUGGACCCCUUCCAGGUGAAGACGCAUGAAUGCGAUCUUGAGUUUCAAAAUACGUACUCAUGGAGGAAAAGCUGUGCCUGCAAAAGACCUAGCACAGGGACGUUUACGCAGGGCUGUGAAGUGACAGAUGCAGUGGGAGAGGGCCCCUCCUGGGUGCAUCUGGGGAUUCCCCAUGACAGAGAGGCCCAGGCAACAGUGGCCAUGAGGAGCACAUUGGAUAAAGGAGGAGUCGGAGUCACCUGAUCUCUGAGUUUGGGAACUGAUAGUAUCUUUGUUAUGAAGACCUCCGCCUCAAGGUUGAGGAUGCUGUGUUUUAAAAUAUCAUGAGGGCCUGUAGGAAUCUGUGUGGGGUCCGGAACACCCUGGGUAAUGACUGACCCUGCACAUCAGGAACGCUGGCUGUGGGUGCUGCAGAGGACAAGCGAUGGAGAAGGCAUCCGGGGAGCACCGAGCCAGCAGGGAGAAAGGCCUCCCUUCCCCACAGGCCAGGCUUGGCCCUGACUGUGCUCUGGGAAAUGGGUGGGCAUUUGGGCUGGGGACCCUGCCCACAGCACCUCUGCAAAGAGUAGCUGGAUAAGCUCUUUCAAUAGACCAGUCCCAGGUUUUGAAAUGGACAGAGCAUUCAAUCUACAGUGACUAAAGGCUGCCUGGCUGCCCGGGACCCAUUUCUAAAGAGAAGUGGUCUCUCUGUGCUGUGCCCCCAGGCUCCCUAUGGGAAAUCCAUGCUGCACUGAGUCAGGCAUCUGCUGCCCUGCUAAUUCCGGCUGGCUGCCAAGGCAGGGGCCUUCCUUUGACAGAGCCAUAAAUACAGACUUUAUUUUAACCCUUCUGCUAUUCUUGGGCUGAGGAAGCUAAAUUUAUUUGCAAUCAGGCACACAAUGGGGCCCUCUUUUCUGUCUGACUGAGAAUGAGGGAAUCCCCAAUUUCCACCCAUAAAUUCUCUUUCUCUUUAAAAUACAAAUGGUGGUGACCUUUUAUUCAGAUAUGGAAAAGAACACACAGACUGUAGCAGAAAGCAUCCACAGCUGCUUUUCACAUCUCAGCAAUGCCUAUGUUUUGAGUGUGGACUUGGGCAAGUUAGUUUCUCUGCAGAAGUGAACACACUGAGCCAGGCUCUGAGAUAGGGUGCUGCUCCAGGGUGCCCGGGCAGGUCAGGAGCAACAGGCUGGCGGGAGGCAGGGUGGAGAUAGGAGACAGGAGACAAAGGCAAGGUGGGGCGAGGGGACACAGACAGUGGACCCUCAGUAUCUGGGGAAUUGGUUCCAGGACCUCCCUUAAAUAUCAAAAUGUGAGGAUGCUCAAGCCCCUGAUAUAAAGUGGCACAGCAUUUGUGUGUAACCUACAGACAUCCUCCCAUCUACAGCAUCUCCUGAUUACCUAUAGUACCUAAUACAGUGCAAAUGCUAUGUGAAUAAUUGUUAUGCUGUAUUGUUUAGGGAAUAAUGACAAGAAAAAAAGUCCGUAUAUGUUCAGUACCGAUGCAAUUUUUUUCCCCAACGUUUUUCAUUGUGGUUGAUUGAAUCCAUGGAUAUGAAACUGCAGACAUGGAGGGCAAACUGUAAAUAUUUACUAAAAUACAAAUAUGCUCA